rnacentral:tRNA from 4 species
GCCGAUGUGAUGAAAUUGGUAAACAUGCACGACUCAAAAUCGUGUGCCGCAAGGCUUGUGGGUUCGAUUCCCACCAUCGGCACAA